AUGCGCUCUUGCACCAUUUUCCGGGCAAUAAUGGCGUCCUACAGGGCGCUGUGCAGGUUACAUCUGAGGGGACAGGGGAGCUUCAUGACAUGUGUACAGAAAGCCCAUAUAUGUGUAUCACGAAGUGUCGGAACAAAAGUCGUGGCCACACAAGCUGAGGACUCUGGGAAAGACGAAAGAGAGGAAAAGGCCGGACCAAAGUCUUUAUCUGCUUUCCUGGUUGAGAGACAAGAACAGGCAGAGAGAUCUGUUCUUAUCAGCUGCCACCCCAAAACCAGUGAGAAAAAGUUCCUCAAGUAUUUAUCUCGACAUGGAGACAUCAAGAAGCACUUCUUUUAUGACAGUUAUGGGACCUACGCGGUGGUGGAGUUUUCUACCCAGGACGGUGUCAGGUCGUUACUGGACGCUGCUGUCAUUCCCAGCGUAAGCCAUGAAUCCGCAGUGCCUUUUAAAUCCAGGCUGCUUUCAUUAAGGACCACCGGUGCUGUGAACCAGAGCGACCAACAGCCGGGCCUUCAGUGCCGACCGCAGAGCACCGUCCCCAUCAGUGAGCUGAUCCAGACACUGGCCCGACAGGAGACUGUGGAUCAGCAGAUCAUGUGUCUGACCCAGGCCUAUCAGCUGACGGAGGAGAACAGCCGGCUGCGCUUCCUCGUCUGCUCGCUGCUCAAGGAUAUUGCCGCCGCUUAUUUCCCAGAAUGCACCGUCAAGCCGUUCGGUUCGUCUGUGAAUGGCUUCGGAAAGUUGGGCUGUGACCUGGACAUGUUCCUGGAUCUGGAUGACAUCAGCGGGAGGGACGUGCAGACGCCAAAGUCUUCUCUGUCGGUGGAGUACCAGAUGAAGCGGGCCACUUCGGAGCGGGCCGUCACCCAGAGCAUCCUGUCUGUCAUCGGGGAGUGUGUGGACCAGUUCGGACCCGGGUGUGUGGGGGUCCAAAAGAUUCUGAAUGCCAGGUGUCCCCUGGUCCGCUUUUCCCAUCAGCCCUCUGGGUUUCAGUGCGACCUGACCGUCAAUAACAGGGUGGCGCUGAAGAGCACAGAGCUGCUCUACCUGUACGGCCUCCUGGACCGCCGUGUGCGCCUCCUGGUGUUCAGCGUGCGCUGCUGGGCUCGGGCCCACAGCCUCACCAGCUCCAUCCCCGGGGCCUGGGUCACCAACUUCUCCCUGACCGUCAUGGUGCUCUUCUUCCUGCAGAGGAGGAGCCCCCCCAUCAUCCCCCCCCUGGACCACCUCCGACAGCUCGCAGGUCCGGCCGACAGAAGCGUGAUCGAAGGGAACGACUGCACGUUCGUCAGCGACUUCAGCAAAAUCCAGCUGCAGACCAACACGGAAACACUGGAACAACUGCUGAAUGACUUCUUUGAGUUCUACAGCACCUUCCCAUUCGGCAAAAUGUCCAUCAAUAUCAGAAAGGGUAAAGAGCAGAACAAACCGGAGGUGGCGCCGCUGCACAUCCAGAACCCGUUCGAAACCUCCCUGAACGUCAGUAAGAACGUCAACUCGUCCCAGCUGGAGCGCUUCGUGGCGCUGUGUCGGGAGAGCGCCUGGCUGCUGCAGCAGAGGGACGCCCCCCCGGCCGGGGCCGCAGACGGGACCCCCCCGGCCUGGGGACUGGCCACCCUGCUGCUGCCGUCCCAGGUGGGAGGAGUCAAAAGUCGAAGGAAAAGGAAAAGGGAACCGGCCAGCGAACGCAUCAAGAGUUUAUUAGAGUCUUUGAAGAGUAAAAACAGUCCAAAGAACAGCUGAUGGACAAACAGCUGAUGGACGAACAGCUGAUGGACGAACAGCUGAUGGACGAACAGCUGAUGGACGAACAGCAGGUGGACACAUGGACAGGGUCAGGUCUGGACUCAGAUGUCCACACCCGUCCACACUGGACUGACCACUGGGGGGCGUCCACACUGGACUGACCACUGGGGGGCGUCCACACUGGACUGACCACUGGGGGGCGUCCACACUGGACUGACCACUGGGGGGUGCCUGUGAGCCCUGGUGAACAGAGAAUCAGACUCAGAGUUUGAAAUGACAGAAUAAAUCCUAACCCAAACCUAAUGUUGGUCAGUGUUUAAUCUGGAUCUGGAUCUGGAUCUGGAUCUGGAACCCACAGGUUUGUAUUUAUCAGAUCAGGUCAUCAAUCACAGAAUCAAUCCAGGUUUUGUGCCAAAUUUUCAAAUUAAUAUCGGAUUGAAUGUCCCUGAUCAGGAUUCAGUUUAAUAUGACAGAACAGAUGUGGAAUCAGAAAAAAGAGUUUUAUGACAUUUAUGAGUUGAGUUUGAUCAUGUUCUGUGUGUGUGUGUGUGUGUGUGUGUGUGUGUGUGUGUGUGUGUGUGUGUGUGUGUGUGUGUGUGUGUGUGUGAGCUGCCUGGGUGCAGGUCUGCUGUCAGACUGCUUCUACAGAAUGUCCCAUAAGUCUCCAUGCAUAGGAGACAUAACACAUAUGGUUCUAACAUGUGUUUCUUUCUAUUUCUUCUUUAUAGUUCUCCAGCAGUGGAGGACAUGCAUUGAAAUGUGUUCCCGACAAACUGGCAGUCAUAUAGAGCAUGUUAUAGAAAUAAAAAUGGUUUAUGUCCAGAAGUGUUUGUUUUUCCUGUGUGUGCAGACUUAUGGGACAGCCUGUGUAUACUCACACCACACACACACACACACACACACACACACACACACAC